UCGAGAAUUUUUCUCAAUGGGGGAAACCCUGAAGGAGCGACGCCGCGUGGAGGAUGAAGGUUUUCGGAUUGUAAACUCCUGUCAUUUGGGAACAAUAGACUCGUUUAACUGGCGAGUUCUUGAUAGUACCAGAAGAGGAAGAGACGGCUAACUCUGUGCCAGCAGCCGCGGUAAUACAGAGGUCUCAACCGUUGUUCGGAUUCAUUGGGCGUAAAGGGUGCGUAGGCGGUCGCGCAAGUCGGAUGUGAAAUCUCAGGGCUCAACCCUGAAACUGCAUUCGAUACUGCGUGGCUAGAGUGCUGGAGGGGAGACUGGAAUUUACGGUGUAGCAGUGAAAUGCGUAGAUAUCGUAAGGAAGACCAGUGGCGAAGGCGAGUCUCUGGACAGCAACUGACGCUGAGGCACGAAGGCCAGGGGAGCAAACGGGAUUAGAUACCCCCGUAGUCC
rnacentral:rRNA from 1 species